UCGCAAGGGCGUGCGUGCAUGAGUGAGUAUC
rnacentral:piRNA from 1 species